rnacentral:lncRNA from 1 species
UAAGAAUAAGAUCUAAGAAUAGUAAGAACCAGUACACAUUAAUUACUAAUUAAAUCUUCACUAUAACACAUCUUUAUCAUUCAAAUAAUUGGAACCUGUGUAAACCAGGUCAUUUGUGGUGUCACCGCAACAAAACCUUGUCUAGACAGAACUCUACACCUAUUCUCUGAUUUUCUUCCAGAAACCUGCGUUUAGAUUUAAACCUAUGUAUAAUGAGUCAGAAUUAAUGAAUUUAACACAAUGCCUAUGGUUAAAAUUCAAGAGGAAAAAAGGAUAUCAUUAACAAAGUAUAUACCAAUAAGAAUAAGAAGAGGACGGCCGGACGGGACACCAUAGAUGGAAUUCUGUAAGGUAAAGCAAACCGAUAGGCUAGACCUAGAACUAUUCUUUCCCAUACCUGUAAACAGCAAACCAAUUUAUCCACAUUAAAAAUACACACGACAGUCUUUAUUUCGCACAAGAGUAAAUAAAAUAGAUGAUGUGCAAAGAAUAGAAUGCACUCGAAGUGAUGAAAGCACUGGUUGUUUCAUUGCAGGGAAAGGGAGCAGAGUUUUUUAUGGCCUUCAAAGUCUGACAGGAUGAAAGUGCUGCACAAAAAUUUUCUCUGCAGAAGAUGUGUAGAAGGGCAACUGAGUUCAAAUUGCUAUGGGUAGGGUGUACCGUCUACUGCUCGGUCCAAGUAUAAGGCUUUGUUUAUUCAUAUGGUUUAGGAGGGUAAUGUAGGGGAUACUGUUGUUAAGUAGAGGCAUGUCUCUACUGGGGUGUCUUAACCUGACGGUACUUACAAAUUACAAUACACAGUUAAGGGAUGUAAUGAUCUGUUGAGUUAAUAAUAUUUCUGCUUUUAUCAAAAAUGGAAUGCACCCGAAACAUAGCAAUGUAAAAAUACUUAAAAUGCUACUAACCUUUUCUACCACCCCUGUAUCUAUAUCACUCUUCCCCAGAUCAAUUCUUUAAAAGAAUAAAUUACCACUUACAUCUUCUCCAGAAACAAGCCUACAAAACAAUCAACAAUCUUUUAGAAAAUCAUAGAUGAAUUGUUUAAAUUGAGGGAAAUUUAGACUUAACCCCCCAGAUAAUGGACCUCUUUUGAUUAAACCCCCACAUAUAUGAAAAGUUUGACUUUGCACCCCACCGUUUGCUUCCGUCAAGUUUUUCAUCCAAACUAUAUUUUUACUUCCCUAAAUACCCCUCGUUUUCUAAUAUAUAGGGGUUUUAACUAAUAAAGAACAAGGGGCAUUUGAGGAAGUAAGAAUAUAAUUUGGAUGGAAAACUGGACGGUGGGGUGCAAAGUCAAACUUUUCAUAUACGUGGGGGUUUAAUCAAAAAAGGUCCAUUAUCUGGGGGGUUAAGUCUAAAUUUUCCUUAAAUUGAUCAUUAGAAACUGAUAGAGGUAUUUGGACCAUAGAAAUAGUUAUCACAAGGUCAAGAUAAUAGAGAUUAGGAAGUUUAGUGAAAAGCAGGGGUAUUGAACCUUUAAUUUGUGUCUACCUAAAUCAAUUGUAAGCUCUAUAAUGCCCUUGCUCCCACAAUAUUUGUUCAUAUAUCUUAAAUUGGUGGUCUUUCUUUAAUUUGUUCACAAUGUUUCUACUACUGAUCUGUCAUUUCAUUGUUAUUUUUUGUUUAUAUAUUGUUUUUACUUGUUACUGCUUAAACCUUAAAGGUUGUAUUCUUGAACAAAUAUCAAAGAUUUUGUUACUGGAUUAGUGCUCAAUAAUCUUCUUCUAAAUGCCACAAUUUUGAACACAACUCACCUGUAACAGGUUCCUAAAUGCCACAAUUUUGAACACAACUCACCUAUAACAGGUUCAUAUAUGAUACAAGAAAUUGCCUAGUAAGUAUUUAUACCCACCAGUAUAUCAAGGUUCAAAAACUCGAAAACUCGGGUCGCUCGAAAUUUUAUUGGGUCGGGUUAACUUGAAAACUCGGGAGUCGACUCGGCGGGUCAUUAUAUACGUAAUUGAAAUAAAAUAGUGUUUACAGACAAAAUUGUCUACUUCAACAAUGUUUUAACACUGAUUGAAAGGAUAUACUUGGGGCAUCGAGUCAUGGAUUGCUGAUAGUUAUAUGUUUUUCAAAUGUAAUUACUAUUUGGGAAAUUUUGACUUAACCCCCUCCCCUCUUUGUCCACGUUUUGAAUAAACCCCCCCAUUUGUCCAAGUUUGGACUUUACCUCCCUUCCGUCAGUUUCCAUCCAAGUUAACACCUAUUUGGAUUUUUUCUUUCUAAAAUACCCCUCACUUUUUUAUUAGAUUUAACCCCUCUAAAAGAACAAGGGAGGGACAUUUUAGGAAGAAAAAAUGUAAAUAAGUGUUAACUUGGAUGGGAGUUGACGGAGAGAGGGUAAAGUUAAAACUUGGACAAAUAGGGGGGUUUAUUCAAAACGUGGACAAAAUAGGAGGGUUAAGUCUAAUUUUCCCUUACUAUUUUACCCAAAUUCAUGUUAAAUUAACCACCAAAUUCCUAAAUUAUGCAAUCUGACUCGGCCCAACUCGGUUCAACUUGGCCGAGUUACUCGCUCAACUAAUAGCUGGGUAAUAUCAACGAGUUUACCCAAAGUUCAAUAGAGUCGAGUCAACUCGGGCGAGUUCCGAGUCGACUCAACGAGUUUUUAAACUCCGCAGUAUAUUGCUACAUGCACGCUUUUCUUUUAGCCACUUAAUAAAUAACAACUGUGCACAACGUACGAUAAGAGUACUUAACUUUAUAACCUUGAUAAGAUUGCAAUAUCAUUCAUUUUUGGGUUAUUUUGUAUUUGGUCCCUCUAGAAGAUGGGUAAUUAGUAUGUAGUCAAACUUUUAUCGUUUAUUAGUAUAUGGUCCUUUUUCUGUCACUUGACUGUCAGUCAACCCAGUUGACCAUAGUCAACACAUCCAUAUUUUUUUAAUGACCAGAUUACCCUUUCAUGUGACUAGCACGUGACUUAAAACUCGAAAACUAAAAAAUUAGUUUGUUUGUAGACAUGCAAAAUUAGUUUAUGAUCCUCCUUUCUCAUAUUUCGUUUCAAAUAUAGUCCCUGUAACCAGUAAUGAAUAUAACCAUGGAAGUUAUCUUACCGGAUUGAAGUUGAGCACGUAACCACCACCCAUGGAAUCUCUAAAAGUUUAUUUAAAUCAAUGCUCUUCACUUGAUUGUCAUCUUCACCUGUAAACACAAGAGAAUAAACUUUUGGAGGUUCCAUGAGUAGUGGUUACAUGUUCAAAUUCACUCCAACUAAGGUAAAAUAAUUUCCAUGCCUUCCACUACUGUUUACAGGGACUAUAUUUAAAACGAAAUAUGAGAAAGAGGGACUAUAAACUAAUUUUGCAUGUCUACAAACAACUAAUUUUUGGUUUUUGAGUUUUAAGUUCUGUCACGUGCUAGUCACGUGAAAGGGUAAUCUAGUCAUUAAAAAAAUAUGAAUGUUUUAACUCUGAUCAACUGGGUUGACUGACAGUCAAAUAACGAAAAAAUGAUCAUUUACUAAUAAACGAUAAAGAUUGGACCAAAUGCUAAUUACCCAUCUUCUAGAGAGACCAAAUACAAAAUACCCCUUCAUUUUUCUCCUCUUUUAAUUACUGCAAACUUAAAAAGUUGUAAAGUAACAUUAUGAAAGUAAUUCUCACAAGUCAAAGGCUCAAAGCUCGGUGGUCAGACCAUGGUGUACCUCAGCUUAAACAGAGCGCUUAAAUAACAAACCGACCCAUCCUGCUG